UGCCAAUGAUGUUAAAAUAUAUUUGCUACUCUUGACGUGUGGAUGACGACAAUCACUUCACUGAGGCA